rnacentral:tRNA from 1 species
GAGGGUAUAGUUCAGUGGUAGAGUGCGUGCUUCACAUGCAUGAGGUCCUGGGUUCAAUCCCCAGUAUUCUCA